rnacentral:misc_RNA from 1 species
AACGCACAUUGCGCCUCCUGGUAUUCCGGGAGGCAUGCCUGCCCGAGCGUCAGCGAUGCCUAUUCAAGCCCCUUCGCUUGGUAUUGGAAGAGGAGCGCCUCCCGGCCCUCCCUUCCGAAAUUGAAUGGCGGAAAGUCUCACGUGCCCACGCGUAGUAAGUCAAUCUUUCGCUUGGACCCUGAGGCGUUCUCGCCCUCAAAUCCCCAAUACAAAUGCAAAUUGACCUCGGAUCAGGUAGGGAUACCCGCUGAACUUAA